rnacentral:rRNA from 1 species
AGCGAACGUUUGCGGCGGGCUUAACACAUGCAAGUCGAACGAGAAUCCCUUCGGGGAGGAAAGUGGCGCACGGGUGCGUAACACGUGGAUAACCAACCCAUUGGUUUGGGACAACACCGGGAAACUGGUGCUAAUACCAGAUGUGUCGCAGCUGUCUUCAGGCGGUUGCGAGAAAGGCCCCGCAAGGGUCGCCAACGGACGGGUCCGCGUCCCAUCAGCUAGUUGGUGAGGUAAUGGCUCACCAAGGCAAAGACGGGUAGCUGGUCUGAGAGGAUGAUCAGCCACACUGGAACUGAGACACGGUCCAGACUCCUACGGGAGGCAGCAGUGGGGAAUAUUGCGCAAUGGGCGAAAGCCUGACGCAGCCACGCCGCGUGAGCGAUGAAGGUCUUCGGAUCGUAAAGCUCUGUGGGGGGAGAAGAAGAAAGCCGGUGAAGAGCGGCCCUGACGGUAUCCCCUUAGCAAGCACCGGCUAACUCCGUGCCAGCAGCCGCGGU